GGAGAUAGCUGGUUCUCCCCGAAAGCUAUUUAGGUAGCGCCUCGUGAAUUCAUCUCCGGGGGUAGAGCACUGUUUCGGCUAGGGGGCCAUCCCGGCUUACCAACCCGAUGCAAACUGCGAAUACCGGAGAAUGUUAUCACGGGAGACACACGGCGGGUGCUAACGUCCGUCGUGAAGAGGGAAACAACCCAGACCGCCAGCUAAGGUCCCAAAGUCAUGGUUAAGUGGGAAACGAUGUGGGAAGGCCCAGACAGCCAGGAUGUUGGCUUAGAAGCAGCCAUCAUUUAAAGAAAGCGUAAUAGCUCACUGGUCGAGUCGGCCUGCGCGGAAGAUGUAACGGGGCUAAACCAUGCACCGAAGCUGCGGCAGCGACGCUGAUGCGUUGUUGGGUAGGGGAGCGUUCUGUAAGCCUGUGAAGGUGGCCUGUGAGGGUUGCUGGAGGUAUCAGAAGUGCGAAUGCUGACAUAAGUAACGAUAAAGCGGGUGAAAAGCCCGCUCGCCGGAAGACCAAGGGUUCCUGUCCAACGUUAAUCGGGGCAGGGUGAGUCGACCCCUAAGGCGAGGCCGAAAGGCGUAGUCGAUGGGAAACGGGUUAAUAUUCCCGUACUUGGUGUUACUGCGAAGGGGGGACGGAGAAGGCUAUGUUGGCCGGGCGACGGUUGUCCCGGUUUAAGCGUGUAGGUGUGUGUUCCAGGUAAAUCCGGUUCACUUUAACACUGAGGCGUGAUGACGAGGCACUACGGUGCUGAAGCAACAAAUGCCCUGCUUCCAGGAAAAGCCUCUAAGCAUCAGGUAACAUCAAAUCGUACCCCAAACCGACACAGGUGGUCAGGUAGAGAAUACCAAGGCGCUUGAGAGAACUCGGGUGAAGGAACUAGGCAAAAUGGUGCCGUAACUUCGGGAGAAGGCACGCUGACACGUAGGUGAAGUGAUUUACUCAUGGAGCUGAAGUCAGUCGAAGAUACCAGCUGGCUGCAACUGUUUAUUAAAAACACAGCACUGUGCAAACACGAAAGUGGACGUAUACGGUGUGACGCCUGCCCGGUGCCGGAAGGUUAAUUGAUGGGGUCAGCGCAAGCGAAGCUCCUGAUCGAAGCCCCGGUAAACGGCGGCCGUAACUAUAACGGUCCUAAGGUAGCGAAAUUCCUUGUCGGGUAAGUUCCGACCUGCACGAAUGGCGUAAUGAUGGCCAGGCUGUCUCCACCCGAGACUCAGUGAAAUUGAACUCGCUGUGAAGAUGCAGUGUACCCGCGGCAAGACGGAAAGACCCCGUGAACCUUUACUAUAGCUUGACACUGAACAUUGAGCCUUGAUGUGUAGGAUAGGUGGGAGGCUUUGAAGUGUGGACGCCAGUCUGCAUGGAGCCGACCUUGAAAUACCACCCUUUAAUGUUUGAUGUUCUAACGUGGACCCGUAAUCCGGGUUGCGGACAGUGUCUGGUGGGUAGUUUGACUGGGGCGGUCUCCUCCUAAAGAGUAACGGAGGAGCACGAAGGUUGGCUAAUCCUGGUCGGACAUCAGGAGGUUAGUGCAAUGGCAUAAGCCAGCUUGACUGCGAGCGUGACGGCGCGAGCAGGUGCGAAAGCAGGUCAUAGUGAUCCGGUGGUUCUGAAUGGAAGGGCCAUCGCUCAACGGAUAAAAGGUACUCCGGGGAUAACAGGCUGAUACCGCCCAAGAGUUCAUAUCGACGGCGGUGUUUGGCACCUCGAUGUCGGCUCAUCACAUCCUGGGGCUGAAGUAGGUCCCAAGGGUAUGGCUGUUCGCCAUUUAAAGUGGUACGCGAGCUGGGUUUAGAACGUCGUGAGACAGUUCGGUCCCUAUCUGCCGUGGGCGCUGGAGAACUGAGGGGGGCUGCUCCUAGUACGAGAGGACCGGAGUGGACGCAUCACUGGUGUUCGGGUUGUCAUGCCAAUGGCACUGCCCGGUAGCUAAAUGCGGAAGAGAUAAGUGCUGAAAGCAUCUAAGCACGAAACUUGCCCCGA
rnacentral:rRNA from 1 species